GCUGGCGGCGUGCUUAACACAUGCAAGUCGAACGAUGAAGUUUAGUUUACUAAACGGAUUAGUGGCGCACGGGUGAGUAAUAUAUAGAUAAUCUGCCUCUUAGUCUGGGAUAGCCAUUGGAAACGAUGAUUAAUACUAGAUACUCCUUCUCAAUCACAUUUGAGUUGGGAAAGUUUUUCSCUAAGAGAUGAGUCUAUAUCCCAUCRGCUUGUUGGUAGUGUAAGAGACUACCAAGGCAAUGACGGGUAGCGGGUUUGAGAGGAUGAUCCGCCACACUGGUACUGAGACACGGACCAGACUCCUACGGGAGGCAGCAGUGAGGAAUAUUGCACAAUGGGGGAAACCCUGAUGCAGCAACGCCGCGUGGAGGAUGACGCAUUUCGGUGUGUAAACUCCUUUUAUAAGGGAAGAAAAUGACGGUACCUUAUGAAUAAGCACCGGCUAACUCCGUGCCAGCAGCCGCGGUAAUACGGAGGGUGCAAGCGUUAUUCGGAAUCACUGGGCGUAAAGGACGCGUAGGCGGAUUGCCAAGUCUGAUGUGAAAUCCUAUGGCUUAACCAUAGAACUGCAUUGGAAACUGGUAAUCUAGAGUAUGGGAGGGGGAGAUGGAAUUAGUGGUGUAGGGGUAAAAUCCGUAGAUAUCACUAGGAAUACCGAAAGCGAAGGCGAUCUCCUGGAACAUUACUGACGCUAAGGCGUGAAAGCGUGGGGAGCAAACGGGAUUAGAUACCCCGGUAGUCCACGCCCUAAACGAUGAACACUAGUCGUCGGGAUGCUAGUCAUCUCGGUGAUGCACUUAACAGAUUAAGUGUUCCGCCU
rnacentral:rRNA from 1 species